rnacentral:tRNA from 1 species
GCCUGGGUGGCUCAGUCGGUUAAGUGUCCGACUUCGGCUCAGGUCAUGAUCUCACGGUUCAUGGGUUCGAGUCCCACCUCUGGCU